UUAACAAAUGGAAGCACGAAAAGUGGCUGGAGAACCUUUAUGAGGCUGGAGACCUAGAGCUGAAUCAGGGUGUUGACUGCAAGAUGAGGCAAAGGCAAAUAGGUGGAAUAACUGAAGAAUAACCCAGAAUGAGACAACAAAAGAGGAUUUUGAAAGGAUUUCCUUGCCUAUUAUCUGCUUUCUGAGAUGGCCAAACAAAACAGGUGAAAAGUUAUACUAUUAAUAAAGAUCUCCUGAGAGGGAGUGUCUGCA
rnacentral:lncRNA from 1 species